UACGUAGGGUGCAAGCGUUAAUCGGAAUUACUGGGCGUAAAGCGUGCGCAGGCGGUGAUGUAAGACCGAUGUGAAAUCCCCGGGCUUAACCUGGGAACUGCAUUGGUGACUGCAUCGCUAGAGUAUGGCAGAGGGGGGUGGAAUUCCACGUGUAGCAGUGAAAUGCGUAGAUAUGCGGAGGAACACCGAUGGCGAAGGCAAUCCCCUGGGCCUGUACUGACGCUCAUGCACGAAAGCGUGGGGAGCAAACAGG
rnacentral:rRNA from 1 species